AUACGUAGGGUGCGAGCGUUAAUCGGAAUUACUGGGCGUAAAGCGUGCGCAGGCGGCUUUGUAAGACAGAUGUGAAAUCCCCGGGCUCAACCUGGGAACUGCAUUUGUGACUGCAAGGCUAGAGUGCGUCAGAGGGAGGUGGAAUUCCGCGUGUAGCAGUGAAAUGCGUAGAGAUGCGGAGGAACACCGAUGGCGAAGGCAGCCUCCUGGGAUGACACUGACGCUCAUGCACGAAAGCGUGGGGAGCAAACAGGAUUAGAUACCCUGGUAGUCCACGCCCUAAACGAUGUCUACUAGUUGUCGGGGAUUCAUUUCCUUGGUAACGCAGCUAACGCGUGAAGUAGACCGCCUGGGGAGUACGGCCGCAAGGUUAAA
rnacentral:rRNA from 1 species